rnacentral:lncRNA from 1 species
CUCUAACCAUGGAAUACUGGGAAUGUCCCUUUCUGUGAAGGAGGUUUGUCAGCCACAACAGGAAUAUUCAUGAACAUGAAGGGGUUGGGCAUGUUCCAGGAUCUGUCUAUCGACUUCUCUCAGGAGGAAUGGGAGGGCCUGGACACUGCUCAGAAGGACUUAUAGAGAGAUGUAAUGAUGGAGAACUAUAGCAGCCUGGUCUCACUAGGUCUCUCUAUCCCAAAGCCUGAUGUGAUUUCCUUACUGGAGCAAGGGAAAGAGUCCUGCAUGGUUUCAAGGGACGUACCAGGAGGAUGGUGCCCAGUUUUCCUUUAAUGCAGCCAUUUCAUGCAUCAAUGGAUAUUCAUUCAGCA